rnacentral:rRNA from 1 species
CACGUAGGGCGCAAGCGCUGUCCGGAAUUAUUGGGCGUAAAGAGCUCGUAGGCGGUCUGUUGCGUCCGCUGUGAAAACUCGGGGCUUAACCCCGAGCCUGCAGUGGAUACGGGCAGACUAGAGGUAGGUAGGGGAGAAUGGAAUUCCCGGUGUAGCGGUGAAAUGCGCAGAUAUCGGGAGGAACACCGGUGGCGAAGGCGGCUUCCUGGUCUGCAACUGACGCUGUGGCGCGAAAGCUAGGGGAGCAAACGGG